CUCCCGCCCGCCUUCGCGCGGUCCUAGAACCUGCGCGCCCGCAGAGAGAGUCCCGGAGCCGUAAGGCUAAAUGCGCUGCCGGGCGUGGCUGGGCCUUGAGUAAAUGCUGGAGGGAGCUAACCCGCCUCUCCCUACCGCUGGCGAGGAGACAGCUAUCUCCCCUUGCCGAAACAAUUCAGAGGCGACGCUGUGGAUAAUUCUGGAUGGGGUCUUUAUCAGACUCUCAAUCCACCGGAAAUGGAGAGGACAGAGGAACAUGUUAAAACACAGUGGAGUAAGAAUCAGCAGAAUCCAAAAUGGUCUUGCUAUGUAAUCCAGGUUAGUCUUGAACUCACUAUGUAGCCCAGGCUGGCCUUGAACUCAUAGUCAUCUUCCUGCCUCAGCCUCUUGAGUGCUGGGAUCACAGGUUCUUCAAUUUCUCUGCUUCCUGAAUGCCAUGAAGUGAGCAACUUUUCCUCCAGCAUAACUCUUUGCCAUGACAUUCUGCCUGGAGCCAGCAGACCACGGACUGAAAGAUGAGCUAAAAUAAACCUCUCCUCCUUUAAGUUGUCAGGUAUUUUGUCCCAGCAAUGAAUAAAGUAACUAAGAUAGGCAACACAGUGGUUUAUGCAUUCAAAAGAGCAGUUUCAGUAGCACGACUGGGGGAAAAGUACGAAUAAAUAGAAAACAGAACGGGAGCUGAGAGGUGACUAUUUUUAGGUCAAACCAUCUGACAACUGCUGAUUGCACAGUUUUGUUUUGAGGUGCUGGAGGCUGAACCUUAGGCUUCACUCACGCUAGGCAGGUGGUUUACUACUGAGCUACAUCUCUGGUCCCUGAACAUUUCUGAUGUACAAAACCAGUACUUUCAUGAUUUUUAAGUAAAAGUUUGAUGGAAUAAAAAUGAAAGUCUGGAACAGGAGUUAGAAAGGAGUAUGAGAUUAAACAGAACCAUGAAGGUGGCACAUUUUAGGUGGAAAGAGAGCAUCUUUCUACCCUGAUAAAAAUGAGGUAGCCAUCAGCUGAAAGAAAGGUGGGAAGACAUGACCAUUUUUCUAAACUUGUUUUUCAUUCUCUUGUAUUUCUUGAAUACUUUCGUUACAUGUACAGUGGACCCUCAAGUUACAACUGACAUACGAACAACUUGGGUUAAUCAGGUUAAUGGAAGAUUCAUCUGCCUCUUGUUAUCUAUAGCAUGUACCCAGGUAAACAUCCAGAUCUCAGCUGUAUUGACUUACAAUCAACCAGGCCUUGAACGGAUUGAGUUCAUAGGUCCACGGUAUAUCUAAGCAAUGUACAGUAUUGUUCUACAGCUUUUAAACUGUAUUGUCAUACUAUGUAUUUCUUCUACAUCGUCCUCCUUUGCCUCAACCUGUUUGAGUUCAGUCGUUUUGCUAGCAUAUAUUUACUUCAUCCUGUUUAUAAUGCAUAAUGUAUUCUUACAGAAGAACGUUUCUAACUUUUUGCUUCUACCCACAGUGCUAUUAUGUAUAUCCU
rnacentral:lncRNA from 1 species